AUUGAACGCUGGCGGCAGGCCUAACACAUGCAAGUCGAGCGAGCGGCGUACGUGAGAGUAAUGUAUGGGGCUCUGCCUGAUGGCAGGGGAUAACUACUGGAAGCGGUAGCUAAUAACGCAUACCAUCAGAUGAAUCCAUUUGGGAUUAGCGAGUAGGUAAGGUAACGGCUUACCUAGGCGACGCACCCGAGCUGGGCUGAGAGGAUGAUCAGCCACACUGGGACUGAGACACGGCCCAGACUCCUACGGGAGGCAGCAGUGGGGAAUAUUGCACAAUGGGCGCAAGCCUUAUGCAGCCAUGCCGCGUGUAUGAAGAAGGCCUUCGGGUUGUAAAGUACUUUCAGUCGGGAGGCGUUACCAACAGAAGAAGCACCGGCUAACUCCGUGCCAGCAGCCGCGGUAAUAC
rnacentral:rRNA from 1 species